GGGAGUGUAGCUCAGGUAGUAGAGCAUCUGCCUAGCAAUCAUGAGGACCUGAGUUCAAAUCCCAGUACUGCCA
rnacentral:tRNA from 1 species